rnacentral:rRNA from 1 species
AAUCAACGCUGGCGGCGGGCCUAACACAUGCAAGUCGAACGAGAACGGCGUCAGCAAUGGCGCCUAGUACAGUAGCGAACGGGUGAGUCACACGUGGGUGAUCUAACCUCAAGUGGGGGAUCACUCGGGGAAACCUGGUCUAAUACCGCAUAAUAUCCGCAAGGAAAAAAGGAGCAAUUCGCUGGAGGAUGAGCCGGCGGCCGAUUAGCUAGUUGGGGGAGUAACGGCCCACCAAGGCUCUGAACGGUAGCCGGUCUGAGAGGACGCACGGCCACACUGGAACUGAAACACGGUCCAGACUCCUACGGGAGGCAGCAGUGGGGAAUCUUGGACAAUGGGGGAAACCCUGAUGCAGCGACGCCGCGUGGGUGAUGAAGCUCUUCGGAGUGUAAAGCCCUUUCGGCAGGGAAGAGAUAAGACGGUACCUGCAAAAGAAGCCCCGGCUAACAACGUGCCAGCAGCCGCCGUAAUAC